CCUACGGGCGGCAGCAGUGAGGAAUAUUGGUCAAUGGACGAGAGUCUGAACCAGCCAAGUAGCGUGAAGGAUGACUGCCCUAUGGGUUGUAAACUUCUUUUAUAUGGGAAUAAAAUGUUCCACGUGUGGGAUUUUGUAUGUACCAUAUGAAUAAGGAUCGGCUAACUCCGUGCCAGCAGCCGCGGUAAUACGGAGGAUCCGAGCGUUAUCCGGAUUUAUUGGGUUUAAAGGGAGCGUAGGUGGAUUGUUAAGUCAGUUGUGAAAGUUUGCGGCUCAACCGUAAAAUUGCAGUUGAAACUGGCAGUCUUGAGUACAGUAGAGGUGGGCGGAAUUCGUGGUGUAGCGGUGAAAUGCUUAGAUAUCACGAAGAACCCCGAUUGCGAAGGCAGUUCACUGGACUGCAACUGACACUGAGGCUCGAAAGUGUGGGUAUCAAACAGGAUUAGAUACCCUAGUAGUC
rnacentral:rRNA from 1 species